AUGACACUAGCGGGAGAGAUCUGGAAAACCCAGACGCCGAAGGAGAAAAUCUCUUGAAUUGCUUUUCAAGGGGAGAAACUCUCAGGCAAAAGUACUGCUAGAGGACG
rnacentral:ncRNA from 1 species